GGAUGCUGAAGCCUCUUCGCACGGUUUGUUUUUGGAUCCUUUGAUGCAUUUUCUGAUUUGGUUUUUAUCAAAUCAUUAGUGAUUAAUGAACAUAGAUUACUAAGUAAAUAGAAAUUGAAAUGUCAAGUUUUAGAUCCUUUUAAUUUCUAAUUGUAAGGAAAACAGGGGAAGGUUUAAGCAGGGGAGAAAAAAACGAAAAUAGGCAUAUAUUAGAAAUAAGAACUUGAAAUGACAUUUUUCUAGACCGGAUUGUUUCAAAGACUUGUUAAUUGUUAACAGUAAAAGAGGAUAAUAAGGUACUAUGCAAAAUGCAGA
rnacentral:misc_RNA from 1 species